CUGAAUUGUCAACAAGAGUUGUUGCUGGUCCUCAAAUGGGGGCAUGUGCACACUCUGUUCACACAUCCACUCACACCCUGUGCACCCUCUGUAGUUCUAUGGUUGGGGGACCUGUCCUCCUGCUGUGGUUCUGCGUCUUUACACACACAUUGUAACAAAGUCUCAUGGAAUGCAUGUCGCGUUUAACGCAAUACAAUA
rnacentral:misc_RNA from 1 species